UUUAUGGAGAGUUUGAUCCUGGCUCAGGACGAACGCUGGCGGCGUGCCUAAUACAUGCAAGUCGAGCGAACAGAAAAGGAGCUUGCUCCUUUGACGUUAGCGGCGGACGGGUGAGUAACACGUGGGCAACCUACCUUAUAGUUUGGGAUAACUCCGGGAAACCGGGGCUAAUACCGAAUAAUCUAUUUUACUUCAUGGUGAAAUACUGAAAGACGGUUUCGGCUGUCGCUAUAAGAUGGGCCCGCGGCGCAUUAGCUAGUUGGUGAGGUAACGGCUCACCAAGGCGACGAUGCGUAGCCGACCUGAGAGGGUGAUCGGCCACACUGGGACUGAGACACGGCCCAGACUCCUACGGGAGGCAGCAGUAGGGAAUCUUCCACAAUGGGCGAAAGCCUGAUGGAGCAACGCCGCGUGAGUGAAGAAGGUUUUCGGAUCGUAAAACUCUGUUGUAAGGGAAGAACAAGUACAGUAGUAAC
rnacentral:rRNA from 1 species